UGGGGAAUAUUGGACAAUGGGCGCAAGCCUGAUCCAGCCAUACCGCGUGGGUGAAGAAGGCCUUCGGGUUGUAAAGCCCUUUUGUUGGGAAAGAAAUCCAGCUGGCUAAUACCCGGUUGGGAUGACGGUACCCAAAGAAUAAGCACCGGCUAACUUCGUGCCAGCAGCCGCGGUAAUACGAAGGGUGCAAGCGUUACUCGGAAUUACUGGGCGUAAAGCGUGCGUAGGUGGUCGUUUAAGUCCGUUGUGAAAGCCCUGGGCUCAACCUGGGAACUGCAGUGGAUACUGGACGACUAGAGUGUGGUAGAGGGUAGCGGAAUUCCUGGUGUAGCAGUGAAAUGCGUAGAGAUCAGGAGGAACAUCCAUGGCGAAGGCAGCUACCUGGACCAACACUGACACUGAGGCACGAAAGCGUUGGGAGCAAACAGGAUUAGAUACCCCAGUAGUCCCUGAGCGG
rnacentral:rRNA from 1 species